rnacentral:rRNA from 1 species
GUGGGGAAUUUUGGACAAUGGGCGCAAGCCUGAUCCAGCCAUUCCGCGUGCAGGAUGAAGGCCUUCGGGUUGUAAACUGCUUUUGUACGGAACGAAAAGCCUCUGGUUAAUACCCGGGGGUCAUGACGGUACCGUAAGAAUAAGCACCGGCUAACUACGUGCCAGCAGCCGCGGUAAUACGUAGGGUGCGAGCGUUAAUCGGAAUUACUGGGCGUAAAGCGUGCGCAGGCGGUGAUGUAAGACAGUUGUGAAAUCCCCGGGCUCAACCUGGGAACUGCAUCUGUGACUGCAUUGCUAGAGAGCGGCAGAGGGGGAUGGAAAUCCGCGUGUAGCAGUGAAAUGCGUAGAUAUGCGGAGGAACACCGAUGGCGAAGGCAAUCCCCUGGGCCUGCACUGACGCUCAUGCACGAAAGCGUGGGGAGCAAACAGGAUUAGAUACCCUGGUAGUCC